UUGGUGUCAAUUUUGCCUUGUGAGUUUCGUCCCUUUAGCGCUUUUUCUAAGAAAUGGUAACAUUGGUAAGCUGGUUUCAAGUUAUCACAGAAGUUUUUAUAGAAAAUGUUGAAAUUCAGAAAGGGAAUUGAUGUAAUUAUCUGAAAAAUGAUUCACUUUGAUUUUCUUAGUAGUUAAUUGGAAAGUUUAUUUAAAAACUGUAAUAGUUUU
rnacentral:lncRNA from 1 species